GGAGUAGUGGCUCAGUGGUAGAGCACUUGCCUGGCAAGUGUGAGGCACAUUAAUGAUAAAGACUACUGGGUUCGAUUCUCAGCACUGCA
rnacentral:tRNA from 1 species